AGUUGAUCAUUUACUAAAAAUCACUGAUAAAUUCUGAUCUUAUGACAUGAAGUGAAGAACACUUGUACACAUAUUUGUAUUUGUCUCUUUUCCAGAUGCAUGCAGUAACAGGUUGGUCCAACACUCUUGUCUCAUCUUGAUCAUCAUAACAAUACUUUCCAUGUUCCUUAUUAAACUCCUUCAUGCUUUAGUCUCUCUCAGUCUCUGAACAUCAACCAAGGCUCUGCUACACAGCAAACAGUGAACCAGAAUGAAACUCAAGUUUACUCCUCUCUUCUCCAUGCUGAUGUUUGUGUCUAUGAAUCAAUCAGAGGCUCUGGAAACACAGGAAGUGGGAUGCAGGAUGACAUGGAGAGCUCUGACUACAAUAAUGUGAAUCCUGAAUCAGUGAAAGGUCCAUAAAGAGAAGAGCAUCGUCAGCAAAGCAAGAGACUCAUGGACAAUGACACGAAAAACAACGGGUUGACAACAGUUCAGUCCAUCCUUUCUGUUCAGAUGGGUGCGCAGUGUUUGAAAGAUUUACAUGAUCUCGCACAAUUCUUGGAGAUCUGACCUGAAAAGUUAAGACUGCUCUGGUGAUUUGUGUUUGUGUUCAUUAUCUCUUCUCUGUCUCAGUCAUUGUUUUUUACACGCAUGGAUUUUCUAGUCAAUUAUAUCACAGUAUGUCAUGAUGUUGCAUUUUUAUGAUUUUGUGUAGUGAUUAUAUAUAAAUAUACCUUGGUUUUAUAUUGUUUAAAGUCGUCAGCUACAGAUUGUCUAUACUAUACUUUCGAUCAACCGUCCUAUGAGCACAACUUCAAACGCCUAGUGGAACAGGUGGUCAUAAUGUUAUGACUGAUGUGUAUUGGAAUAUAGUUUGUGCAUGUGGUAUGUUCAUGCAUGUUAUGUGUAUAGAUUUGUGUGUCUCUCUCUUGCUCUCUCUGCUGUAGUCCUGCAGGUGAGAGGUGGAAGGUUGGCUGCCAGCCUGUGGAUUGGCUCAUACUCCAGCCAAUCAGAGAAGGAGGGACAUUUGAAAAGCUUCAGUUGUGUUGCUCUCUCUCUCUCUCUCUCUCUCUCUCUCUCUCUCUCUCUUCUUUGUUGGAUAGGUAGGUUUGUGGUGGGGACUAGGGACCAAGGUAAGACUGGGGUACCCUCUACACCUGCACACGUAGACGCACUAUGUUAUCACAUUAGGUUAUGGGUUGCUGCCACGAUUGUAUUUUUAUUAUUUUUGGAUGUUUUUUAGCCAGUAGAGUCAGGCCUUUUGUUUUCUUUUCUUUUCACACAGAGAUAGUUGAGCUAGGCUCAUUUUGAUUGUAAUUUGUCUAUUUUAUAUGGCACAAGCCCCACCGGUCCCUCUCUCCCCCCACAUUGUUUGAAACCUACAUCUGUUGUGUACCUUUUCAUUUAAGUAUUGUAAAUAAAUCUCUUUUCUUUAACUGCC